AACUCAAUUCCCAGGAUACCCUUCAACUGAGCCUCCACAACCCUGUAUAAAGCAGCUUUUAAACCAGGCCAAAAGAAGGAAUCUCCAGAAGCAACAGUGUGUAUGUGCGGAUGAUGGGAAACGUGAGUGUGUAGAAGGAACUAUGGUUGCAGUGUGUGGAAUUUGCUACUGGCAAGUUAUUCUAGCACAGAAUCCAAGAUAAAUACCAGUGAGGACUAAGGAUCUUCACCCCUGUCUUCAGUGCUGACCAUUUGACUGCCUGUUGUCUUGGACUCAUCAAAACCUCAAGCAACAACAUUCUAUUAAGAAGAGUCACCAUCCUAGAGAGUUUUCUUUCAAAAUUCUCCAGAUCUCAUAAGGAGUUGCUGAGAAGAAAGAGCAAGUAUUAAAGGGACUGUACAGUAGUCACUACAAGGAGAUUAGUUUUUAAAUUUCAGAUUCCCAGUUGCAAUUUUUAUUAUAAGUAUAAGCUUAGAACACAGGACUUUCUGAUUGGCUGUCAGUAAUAUCAUGCCCCGGCCAAGAAUACCCAGUAAAUGAAGAAAUCUGUUUAAUUUUAGAAGGUGCAUUUUUGAAAAUCAUCUACUAAAAUGAAGCCUUCAGUCACCAAGUUAUCAUCUUCAAGGUUUCAUUCUUACAUACCUAGAAAACAAACAAUCUGGGUAACAACCCAACCCUGUGGCAAAGAGGUUUGGAACUCUGCCUUCCCAAAAGCCUUUUGCGUCUUUUGUGUCUCAGCUUUUAUCAAGUCUAUCUGUUAUUUAACAGUUUUCUAUUCCUCCGCUGCGAGAAUGAUUGGGCCUUAAGUAUGCAGCCCUGCCUCAUUAUUCCUCCCUCUAUACUUGUGUGAGACUGAGUUUACUGGCUGCAAGACAAGGAAAGCCUCUGCACCCUGUUACACUUCAUCUGCUCUUUAAUACAUUUAGCUGUUCUUGUGGUGAGCCAUUCGAUAUCACUUACGGUUUUUCCAUGCUUCAGUACUUAUCUCUUUGCUUCUUCUCCACUUUCUUAGAAUGUGCCCAGGUUUCUGUUCUAUAUAUUAUGGUUGGCAGUACAAAAAACUAAUAAUAUUCAAGUUUCUAGGACUGAGCAUGUUAGUGAACUAGACUUUCACCUCUGGAGGUCAUGGUAAAACUCCUGUUUUUGUUACAAGCAAAAUGGAUUAGAAUUCUGUGUAAUCCAUGAAAUAGUCCCUCUUUCGCUCUACAUUUUGCCUCAACAUCUUUGGCUAAAAAUUUCAACCAUAGGAGCCUAAAGUUAUCAAAAAUCCAUAUUUAGGCACCUAAGCAGGUGGUCUAAUUUUCAAAAAUGCUGAACACUUAGCUCCCAUAUUGGUUCUUGUUAUUCCAUUGGAUGCUGGCUCUUUUAUUCCAUCUUCAUAUGUAAGCUAUAACUGUCAAAGCAUAUUCUUCAUGACAAUUUGUUCCAAAGGAAGUGGGUUCUGGAAAUAAAUCCACAAUGGUAAAUCAUGGGUUAAAUGGGGGUACUUGUUCAGCAUUUUAACUAUUACCCUAUACUUAUCACCCCCUGCUAGUUUUAUUGAAGAACAUAGAUGAAUGUAUUGAUACCCAUAAGAAAGAAAAAUAAAUUGACCCUCCAACUACAUAUUACCAAAAGCUGGGUAGUAGUCCUUUGUGCAUAAUGCUGAUAUUUCAAGAUUGUUCUUUAUACCAACAUUUUAAACUUGUAAAAAUGUCUAUCUCUUGCAAUGUGUGUGCUAUUACUGUCUGUCCAUCUUCUAUGUUCAGAACUUGCAUUGCUAAAACCAAUGCCUGCCUUACAUCAUUGUUUCUCUAUCCCAGUGGCCAUCUGACUCUAUCCAAAAUGAUUUCCUUGAAGAAUAGUGUAUGGACACCUAUUGUACUUAUCAAUCUUUAAUGGAUUCAGACUACCCAAUUGUAACAAUACAAUAAAGUGCUACCUAUGACAGCUC